GUGGGCAGGGCGGCGGGGGAUGCGCACGCUGCCACCGCCCCCGGCCCCACAGACCCGGGGCCUCGCGCCAGCCCGCUGCUGCCGGCCCCGCCCGCGACCCCGGCCCCGGCCCCUGCCUGGGGGUCCGCGGCCGCGCGGGACCCUCUCCCCUCCAGCCUCGUCCGCCUGCCCAAGACGAGCCCCGCAGGUCAGUGCGGGAGCCCAGGUGCUGAGCCAUGCCGGGCCCCGGGCGGCCGGCAGCAAGCCCAACCCCAGCACCCACAUAGUCAUGAACAGCCACAGACACAAUGGCUUCGGGGGACGGCCACUGGGUGGCGGGCUGGGUGCCCUGGGCCGAGACCCUCUGGACCCCGAGGCCGGCCACCCGCCACAGCCUCCGAAUGGCCCAGGCAUCCAGGUGGUGGUAGCCAAGAGUGAGCCGGCCCAGCCCUCACCCGGCAGCCCCCGGGGGCAGCCCCAGGACCAGGAAGAAGAGGAAGAUGAGGAGGAGGAUGAGGCGGGUAGGCAGAGGGGCUCAGGGAAGCCCCCCAGCGUUGGCCACCGUCUGGGCCACCGGCGGGCGCUCUUUGAGAAGCGGAAGCGUCUCAGUGACUACGCUCUCAUCUUCGGCAUGUUCGGCAUUGUGGUCAUGGUGACGGAGACGGAGCUGUCCUGGGGGGUCUACAGCAAGGAGUCCCUGUACUCAUUUGCACUCAAAUGCCUCAUCAGCCUCUCCACGGUCAUCCUGCUGGGCCUGGUCGUCCUCUACCACGCCCGGGAGAUCCAGCUGUUCAUGGUGGACAACGGGGCAGACGACUGGCGCAUCGCCAUGACGUGCGAGCGCGUCUUCCUCAUCUCCCUGGAGCUGGCCGUGUGCGCCAUCCACCCGGUGCCCGGCCACUACCGCUUCACGUGGACAGCGCGGCUAGCCUUCACGUACGCGCCGGCAGCGGCCGAGGCCGACGUGGACGUGCUGCUGUCUGUGCCCAUGUUCCUGCGUCUCUACCUGCUGGGCCGCGUCAUGCUGCUGCACAGCAGGAUCUUCACGGACGCCUCCAGCCGCAGCAUCGGCGCCCUCAACAAGAUCACCUUCAACACGCGCUUCGUCAUGAAGACGCUCAUGACCAUCUGCCCGGGCACCGUGCUCCUUGUCUUCAGCAUCUCCUCCUGGAUCAUCGCCGCCUGGACCGUGCGGGUCUGUGAGAGGGAAAACAUGUAUCACGACAAGCAGGAAGUGACCAGCAACUUCCUGGGAGCCAUGUGGCUCAUCUCCAUCACCUUCCUCUCCAUCGGCUACGGCGACAUGGUGCCCCACACCUACUGCGGGAAGGGCGUGUGCCUGCUCACUGGCAUCAUGGGGGCUGGCUGCACGGCGCUCGUGGUGGCCGUGGUGGCCCGGAAGCUGGAGCUCACCAAAGCAGAGAAACACGUGCACAACUUCAUGAUGGACACUCAACUCACCAAGCGGGUAAAAAACGCCGCUGCUAACGUUCUCAGGGAGACGUGGCUCAUCUACAAACACACCAGGCUGGUGAAAAAGCCAGACCACGCCCGGGUUCGGAAACACCAGCAGCUCAGAAGCUCCGGAGUGUGAAGAUUGAGCAAGGGAAGCUGAAUGACCAGACCAACACGCUCGCAGACCUGGCCAAGACCCAGAAUGUCAUGUACAACCUCAUGUCCGAGCUGCACGCCCAGCACGAGGAGCUUGAGGCCCGCCUGGCUGCCCUUGAAAGCCGCCUGGAUGCAUUGGGCGCCUCCCUGCAGGCCUUGCCGGGUCUCAUCGCCCAAGCCAUACACCCGCCUCCACCACCCCUGCCUCCCCGGCCUGGCUCCGGCCCACUGGACCAGGUGGCUCGGAGUCCCCCACACCGACGGCCACCCACGGCCCCUUCAGACUGCGGGUGACGGCUCUGCCUGCCACCAGACUCCUCAAUCUUGGCCAUCGUGUGGCCGCCACCUCCACGCCACCCAAGAAGCCCUGUACAGUGGCGCCUCUUGGAGUUCAAGGAGCUGAAACCGAGUUGGGCUGAUUGAACUGGGGCCCGCCAGACUGUCCAGGCAGAGGGCAGGGCCGUACGGCAGGCAAGGGCAGGGGCGGGCCACCACCGGCUUCCUCCCUGAUUGGAGCUGGGAGAGCCCGGAGCUUCCUCUGGUCCUCUGCCACCCUCAACCCCUGGCUCUCCCCAGGCUCCCAGUGGGUGCGGAGCAGCCAGGAGAGGGGUCCUUGCCAGUUCCAAAUAAAGCAGGACCCACCCA